CCAUUUUGGAGCAUUAUCAUUCUUUCUUUAAUCUCAAUUUUGGGCCAUGGACAAUGCUGCAUGGGGCCGUGUGGUUUCCCUUCAUAAUACCAAUCCAAAUAGAAUUCAGCAUUGCAUUUUGGAGGUCUUGGACGUGAACUUGCAACAUGUGAUUUUUGGUGUGUGCUUGCCACAUAAAAACCGUGAGUUCCCAAGGUGGCUCUC
rnacentral:sRNA from 1 species